rnacentral:rRNA from 2 species
GGAAUCAUUGGGCGUAAAGGGCGCGUAGGCGGAUUAGUAAGUUAAAAGUGAAAUCCCAAGGCUCAACCUUGGAAUUGCUUUUAAAACUGCUAGUCUAGAGAUUGAAAGAGGAUAGAGGAAUUCCUAGUGUAGAGGUGAAAUUCGUAAAUAUUAGGAGGAACACCAGUGGCGAAGGCGUCUAUCUGGUUCAAAUCUGACGCUGAGGCGCGAAGGCGUGGGGAGCAAACAGGAUUAGAUACCCUGGUAGUCCACGCUGUAAACGAUGAAUGUUAAAUAUGGGAAGUUUACUUUCUGUAUUACAGCUAACGCGUUAAACAUUCCGCCUGGGGACUACGGUCGCAAGAUUAAAACUCAAAGGAAUUGACGGGGACCCGCACAAGCGGUGGAGCAUGUGGUUUAAUUCGAUGCAACGCGAAAAACCUUACCACUUCUUGACAUGGAAAUUAUACCUAUUAGAAGGGAUAGGGUCGGUUCGGCCGGGUUUCACACAGGUGUUGCAUGGCAGUCGUCAGCU